rnacentral:rRNA from 1 species
CCUACGGGGGGCUGCAGUGAGGAAUAUUGGUCAAUGGGCGUAAGCCUGAACCAGCCAAGUCGCGUGCGGGAUGAAGGUUCUAUGGAUCGUAAACCUCUUUUAUGAGGGAAUAAAGUGCGGGACGUGUCCCGUUUUGUAUGUACCUUAUGAAUAAGGAUCGGCUAACUCCGUGCCAGCAGCCGCGGUAAUACGGAGGAUCCGAGCGUUAUCCGGAUUUAUUGGGUUUAAAGGGUGCGUAGGCGGCCUUUUAAGUCAGCGGUGAAAGGCUGUGGCUCAACCAUAGCAUUGCCGUUGAAACUGGGAGGCUUGAGUAUGUGGGAGGCAGGCGGAAUGCGUGGUGUAGCGGUGAAAUGCUUAGAUAUCACGCAGAACCCCGAUUGCGAAGGCAGCCUACCAAGCCAUGACUGACGCUGAUGCACGAAAGCGUGGGGAUCAAACAGGAUUAGAUACCCGUGUAGUC